AAUGAACGCUGGCGGCAUGCCUAACACAUGCAAGUCGAGCGAACGGACGGGAAGCUCUCUUUUUUGAAGUUAGCGACGGACGGGUGAGUAACACGUGGAUAACCUACUUAUUUGUCUGGGGUAAUUACGGGAAAACGGAUACAAUACCGGAUAAUAUGUUGAACCGCAUGGUUCAAAGGUGAUAGACGGCUUUGCUGUCACUUAUAGAUGGUUCCGGGCUGCAUUAGCUAGUUGGUAAGGUAACGGCUUACCAAGGCUACGAUGCAUAGCUGACCUGAGAGGAUGAUCGGCCACACUGGAACUGAGACACGGUCCAGACUCCUACGGGAGGCAGCAGUGGGGAAUCUUCGACAAUGGGCGAAAGCCUGACGCAGCCACGCCGCGUGGGUGAAGAAGGUCUUCGGAUCGUAAAGCUCUUUUAUUGGGGAAGAACAGAUGUAUGUUUAUCCCUCGACGUCUUGACGGUACCUAAAGAAUAAGCACCGGCUAACUUCGUG
rnacentral:rRNA from 1 species